CAGCCCCUCGAGUGGUGGGGAUGAUUAUUUGGCCUAAAGCGUCCGUAGCCGGCCGAGUAAGUCCCCCGUUAAAUCCAGCGUCUCAAGCGUUGGACUGCGGGAGAUACUACUUGGCUAGAGAGUGGGAGAGGUCAGCGGUAUUCUGGGGGUAGGGGCGAAAUCCUUUGAUCCCCGGAGGACCACCAGUGGCGAAGGCUGCUGACUAGAACACGUCUGACGGUCAGGGACGAAAGCUGGGGUAGCGAACCGGAUUAGAUACCCGAGUAGUCA
rnacentral:rRNA from 1 species